rnacentral:lncRNA from 1 species
UCUUCCAGCAUGAAAAAAAAACAAAACCAAAAAUAUUCCAGGUAACAUCCAGCAUAGUGGAAAAGGAAGAGAGGGGAAGCGAAGGAGUGAAGGCAACAGACUCAAAUGAAAAAACUUGCCAUUCCAGCCCUGCCAAGAAUUUACUGCAUGACCUCUAGCUGCUCGGACACUGUCCACUUCUUAUCAACAGCGUUUCCUUCUUGGGUAUUACCAGUGAUAAUAGCUCAGGCUCGCCUUUUUCUCUGGCACUCACAGGAAUUUCUGUUGACACCAGGGUGCUGGUGGAGAACAUAUCUCCAGAGAGCUCAAAGGGAAGGUUUGCAGAUCCAGUAUCUUUGAAAACAUCAGUGCCAUUCGCUUGAUUGCCAAUCUUAGCUUUUCUUUCCUUUAGACCAAAUCCUAUUCUAUUCAAGACUUCUUCCCAUCCUAGUCCUGUAAGAGAGCAAAGACAGACAUAAGGGUACAUAUUUCACCAAAUCUAUCUGUUCCUUCUCUGCAGGACUGCCGUUUUUCUAUUUUGCUGGGCAUGGAGGAAUACAUAGCUUCCCUGC